rnacentral:rRNA from 1 species
UGGCCCAGAUCGUUUACCGUGAAAAAAUUAGAGUGUUCAAAGCAGGCAGAUCCAAUUUUCUGCCACCGAAUACAUUAGCAUGGGAUAAUGGAAUAGGACCCUGUCCUCCUAUUUUCAGUUGGUUUUGGCAGCGCGAGGACUAGGGUAAUGAUUAAUAGGGAUAGUUGGGGGCAUUAAUAUUUAAUUGUCAGAGGUGAAAUUCUUGGAUUUAUGAAAGAUUAACUUCUGCGAAAGCAUCUGCCAAGGAUGUUUUCAUUAAUCAAGAACGAAAGUUAGGGGAUCGAAGACGAUCAGAUACCGUCGUAGUCUUAACCAUAAACGAUGCCGACCAGCGAUUAGGAGACGUUGAAUACAAAACACCACCAUCGGUGCGGUCGUCCUUGGCGUUGGUCUUCAAAAGCCAGCGCGGGGGUGGCUAGCCC